AAAGAAUUCACAGAAAAAUCAACGAUUUGGAUACGCACUAAGAAGAAAUGCUCAACCAGGAUGCUACGUUCUGUCAGCGAAGAAUUUUAACUUUUACCAAUUUCGAAACAACCGACAUCAUCUCUUGCUACCCUGACGUUUACUUAUUUUACGCUGAUAAAACUUGAUGAGUACAUUGCUACAUUUGCGAAAUUUUUAACAUGGUAUUGAUCUAAGUUGAUCGGUCUGCAAAUUUUGAAUGAAAACGAGUAGAUCUUGUGCAAAUUAUCCACAGAAAAAUGGACGAUUCGGAUACGUACUAAGAAGAAAUGCUCAACCAGGAUGCUACGUUCUGUCAGCGAAGAAUUUUAACUUUUACCAAUUUCGAAACAACCGACAUCAUCUCUUGCUACCCUGACGUUUACUUAUUUUAAGCCGGUCAAACUUGAUGAGUACAUUACUACAUUUGCGAAAUUUUUAACAUGACAUUGAUCUAAUUUGCCUGCCCAGCAAUGAGCCAGCUGUAGCAU
rnacentral:lncRNA from 1 species